GAACGUUACACUUUGCGCAUGCGCGAUACCGACCAAGCACACGCGCACGAGCGCCACCCAUCGUCUCCCGCGGCACUUCGUUCGCUACGAACUUAUCCUUCGUCUUGUGUACCUUUCGGGCGUUCGCGCGCGCCACAAUCGACGCACAAUGGAUCCCGAUGAUUAAUGAUGAUUGGCCGUGGACCCGUUAAUGACGCAGUGACUUGACGGAUCCGCUAACUAGCCCUUUGAGUAGAGUCUCGAGCCUCGAGCCUUUUUGUGCGGCAUCCGCGACUGGCGCACCCUCUACAACAUAACCCUACCUGUCUGACAGCCUUUGGAUUUUCAAUUUGUGUCUCGUGCGUAACUAGCUACUCAACUUGUAAGUAAAUAGACACGUACACCACUUGGCAGUGCUCCUUUAUAAUCUCUCUUCUAUCCUCAAUGAUAUUUAACAUAUAUUUAUAAAUUCCCAUAACACAUGGAACAAUUGAGAGCCCCUGAUUGUACGGAGGCACAUGACGACUCUAUCAGGCCCCAGGGCGUAUAUACCUACUACGUAGGCAGGUUAGGCUCACUUCGGACCCCAUAACCGCGUUAUCCCUUAUUUAAAUACACACCCACUACCAUCACCAGAGAUAUUACCUUACUCGUAAUCCUACCUGCGAGCACUCGAGACACGGAGAACAAAAGGGACACGGCUGAAAUCGGUGUGCACGCGAAGGAAUAGGAGAAUUGAACUGAGAGUGACCAAUGAAGAAUAAGAGAAUAACAGAGAGACUAGAAAAGAUAGUAGCGAAGCUACAGUGAAUAAGAGGUACCUCACGAGUAUCCAGAUAUACAACCAUGGUAGAUGCUUUACCGUUUACACGCUAGAGAGCCCAGGCAUCAACGCUGCAGGAGUGCAGGAGUGUCGGAGAGAGAAGAGGAACUAUACCAGGAGUACGCGACGUCAGGACUCUCGCCUCUGUCGAGCCACCAUGUAUUAUUUAUGAACGAGCGCGAAUAUUGACCAAAAUGGCCGGGGCGAACAUUGUUUUAUUAAUCUAAUCGAUCCAUAAAUAUUAAACAGUUGAUUUUCGCCAAUGCGAAUUACCAGCCGUCGACUUAACGAUGGUGUAACUAUACACAGGGUACGUCUGCCGGGCAGGUUUUGUUAAUUGGUAUCCCUGGCGAAAUUGCUGGGGCGCAUGCGCGCCAUGCAUUUUAAUCAACAGGAGGAUGAAAUCUCGCGAAAGCAAGGACUACCUAAAAAUUCAGUGACAGCUAUCGUGCAGGUUAUCAACAAUCACAGUCAUUCGACUCUGAUCGAGGUGGUAGGACGAGGACGCUGUUAAACACACAUUUUAGGCACGGUGGGUGGAGAGAAAAGUGAUCGCUCACCGGCCAUACGUGAGCUUCGCUUGUAUAGCCCGUACGUGCGCACUCUCCCGAGCCACCAGGACUCUGCCGUAAACGUUACCUACUCUACGCGUGUGCUCGCUGCUAUAAGUAAGCCAAUUCAUCAACAUUAUCACUGACGGACGUAGUUACCUUGCGACGAGCGGUUCCCAACUACCUGCCAUGCUGUAACGCGUCCUCGAGUUCGCCCUGCUCUCAGCAGCUCUCCCGUCAAGGCACGAGGGACUCGACGUGAUGGCCAAUCCACGUGGGAACUCCUGAGGAAUCGAUGGCCCCGCUUUGGAGCCGAUAAUCACGUCGAUAAUUAUGAUAUCGAAGCCGUUACGUGCCACAGGGCUGCCACUACGCUCUGCAUGGUCUUUUUCGUCUUUUCUUGAUCCUUCGUUCUACCAACAUACCUGUAAUGUCUUAUGCUGGGAAAAAAAGUAUGUCAUCUGGUAGUAGUGGAGAUUUGCUACGAUGGAGACUGAUAGCGAUACCGAAAUCCUACUGCCAAUUGGAAGUCACGGUUCACCCAUGCGCCGCUAGAGGCGCCUAUUUGCCAGUCGACGAUCCGGCUGAGAUAAGUCCGUAAGAGCAAGUCGCUCGAGUAGGUAACAAGUAACGAGAUAACUAGUAAUAAGAAGGUAAUGACUGCGCGUAGAACGCAAGGCGCAAGAAAGUUGGACGGGAGGCCGUAACUCCGGACGCUUAACCGAACGGUUAACCGUUUUCGUUCGGUAAAAUCACCGACGGUUAAAUCAACAAUGUUGACCAAUAGGAAGCGGCGAGACGCAGUAGUGAGGCGCUCCGGUUAUUGCUCGUAAAGCGAUGAGUUUUUGAACGAGGCGAAAAUAAAUAUUUCGCGAUAAGUAUAUACGCCAAGGUACCAGCGCGGCGUCUCGUCGAAUGAACGCCAACCUGGCCUUUAUACAUUUACUACCAUCGACAUCAGGGUGCGUUCACAACGUGCUUGUUAGGAUGGGCGACAAAAAAAUUCGCGACCAUCGCACACUCGCCACACGCAAAUGGAAUCUCCUGGCGACCGAGCGACACGACGGGUUUUCAAGUAAAACGAUACUACCACAGUAAAUCCAUGGUUUCGACGCCAUAAAUAUUUUCUGGAUCGACGCGCGAAUUACGAAUUAUCCACCGUUAUAGGGAAGGGAAUGUUUAUGUGAUUUUUACUAUAUAUAUUUAUACAUAGUGUCAUAUAUAUACAUGCAUAUACCUACAUUAGAGACUGUGAAUACUGCCUAAGCGCACAGCAAGAUGCUCCGUGCGCGUGACGCUGGGCCAUUAUUUUCGCUCGAUGAAACAAUUAGUCAGCGACCCAAGCAGCUGUAAUUAGACAAAGGAUAAUUAGCAUGAGGUUUUGCUAUCUCAGUGUAUCUGAACAUUGAGCGCGGGACUACUAACUGCAUGGCGCAGUAUCUAUAGGUAUCUGAACUAGACAGGAGCAUUCGAGUGCGAGCUAAUUGGAGGAACCAAUUGGAGGUGCGUCUUUACGACGCGAAGAUUUGCAUAAUUUUUUCCUGCGCUUAAAAGAAACAAAAUGUAAUAUGUAUGUGUA